UUCCAAGACAAGGCGAAGGGCAGCGUUCUCUCUGUACCCAUGGACUUGUCGGAUCGCCAGCUUUCCGAACUACUCCAAGACAAAACCUUUCCCUCUUUGGGUAACGUCCCAAAACCGUGCUGGGUCCCUGAACCCCAGCUCCUUUCUGUGUCUCCAGUCGUCUACCCUAUAACCUUUCUAGGAAUUUCACAAACAGUAAACUUGCCCAAAGGGAAAAGAGGAAGAUGCUGUGGCUUAUUAAGUAAACUGCCCAAGGACACACAACCAAAACAUAUUAAACUGGUCUGAACCCAGCUAGGAGGCCUGUCUGAUUUCAAACUUCCGGCACUGUGGACCAGCCACUUUUAAGUGCAGUUGAUAGAUUCCUGGAGAAACUUGAAGCGAGAGGCGCCUGAGUGUCUGAGACAGUUGAGUGUCUGACUCUUGGUUUCAACUCAGGUCAUUGUCCCAGGGUCAUGGGAUUGAGCCC